rnacentral:rRNA from 1 species
GACGAACGCUGGCGGCGUGCCUAAUACAUGCAAGUCGAGCGGAUUGAUGGGAGCUUGCUCCCUGAUAUCAGCGGCGGACGGGUGAGUAACACGUGGGCAACCUGCCUGUAAGACUGGGAUAACUUCGGGAAACCGGAGCUAAUACCGGAUAAUCCUUUUCCUCUCAUGAGGAAAAGCUGAAAGACGGUUUCGGCUGUCACUUACAGAUGGGCCCGCGGCGCAUUAGCUAGUUGGUGAGGUAACGGCUCACCAAGGCGACGAUGCGUAGCCGACCUGAGAGGGUGAUCGGCCACACUGGGACUGAGACACGGCCCAGACUCCUACGGGAGGCAGCAGUAGGGAAUCUUCCGCAAUGGACGAAAGUCUGACGGAGCAACGCCGCGUGAGCGAAGAAGGCCUUCGGGUCGUAAAGCUCUGUUGUUAGGGAAGAACAAGUAUCGGAGUNNCUGCCNGUACCUUGACGGUACCUA